CACUGGUGUCGGGCGGUGGGCGGUUCUCUGUUCCCCGACCGACACCACCUGUCCUGUCCUCUCCUGUGGCUCUUGCUCCUUCCUCGUCUUCUCCUUGUCCCUUGCCCUGGAGCCUGACGGGACACACAACCGCUUUGUCUGUUGCUUUGUUUUCAGUCUCCAUAUUUAAUUUAUGUUGAAACUAACACUGAAGAAGAUGAGAUUUUAUGCGAGUACUUGAGUUGAACGGGUUGAGAAACAAUACUGAGAAGUCUGUCUUUUCUUAAUGUUUUUGUGUCCAUGGCUUUGUUACUGUCUUAGCCAAUACUCGCAGAACAUUCGUAUGUGAGGCACUAAAAGAGUACCUGAACACAACACAGUCCAUGGGGAAAGUGUGUCCCAGGCCUCAACUACCCUGGGCAGGACCAAUAACUGGAGACAGAAAUUACUUCAAGCAUGCCCUGCAUGGUCUAACCUUCCUGGCAUCUCCGUGGCUCUUGGAGGCUCCAUUUGUCCACCGACAACCCACCAGAGAAGGGGGUAGCUGUGAGCCGUUGACAGCUGACAUCCGAAGCAGGUGA
rnacentral:lncRNA from 1 species